rnacentral:rRNA from 1 species
GCGGCGGACGGGUGAGUAACACGUGGGCAACCUGCCCUGCAGACUGGGAUAACUUCGGGAAACCGGAGCUAAUACCGGAUAACACCGAAAACCGCAUGGUUUUCGGUUGAAAGGCGGCUUUUAGCUGUCACUGCAGGAUGGGCCCGCGGCGCAUUAGCUAGUUGGUGAGGUAACGGCUCACCAAGGCGACGAUGCGUAGCCGACCUGAGAGGGUGACCGGCCACACUGGGACUGAGACACGGCCCAGACUCCUACGGGAGGCAGCAGUAGGGAAUCUUCCGCAAUGGACGAAAGUCUGACGGAGCAACGCCGCGUGAGCGAAGAAGGUCUUCGGAUCGUAAAGCUCUGUUGUCAGGGAAGAACAAGUGCCGUUCGAACCAGGGCGGUACCUUGACGGUACCUGACGAGGAAGCCACGGCUAACUACGUGCCAGCAGCCGCGGUAAUAC